rnacentral:lncRNA from 10 species
AACGAAGAGGCUGCUGGAAAUCAUCCUGGGGGCGUCAGGGGCCUGGACAGGGGCAGAGACUGUGCUGGGAGAGCUGUGUUAACACUGUGGGGAGCCUGUGCAGCUUCCUCCUGGGGUACUUAGGAGGCACAGGUGAGUGGCAGGGCGCCAUGGCGUUCCCUCGGCACGACACUCUACAGUUUACUGAGCACGCCCUCACUGCUGGGUAGGGAUUGGCUGGGAUCCUGAUCGGCUGCUUUC